UACAGGCUUAACACAUGCAAGUCGAGGGGCAGCAUGGUCUUAUCUUGCUAAGGCCGAUGGCGACCGGCGCACGGGUGAGUAACACGUAUCCAACCUGCCGUCUACUCUUGGACAGCCUUCUGAAAGGAAGAUUAAUACAAGAUGGCAUCAUGAGUCCGCGUGUUCACAUGAUUAAAGGUAUUCCGGUAGACGAUGGGGAUGCGUUCCAUUAGAUAGUAGGCGGGGUAACGGCCCACCUAGUCUUCGAUGGAUAGGGGUUCUGAGAGGAAGGUCCCCCACAUUGGAACUGAGACACGGUCCAAACUCCUACGGGAGGCAGCAGUGAGGAAUAUUGGUCAAUGGGCGCAGGCCUGAACCAGCCAAGUAGCGUGAAGGAUGACUGCCCUAUGGGUUGUAAACUUCUUUUAUAAAGGAAUAAAGUCGGGUAUGUAUACCCGUUUGCAUGUACUUUAUGAAUAAGGAUCGGCUAACUCCGUGCCAGCAGCCGCGGUAAUACGGAGGAUCCGAGCGUUAUCCGGAUUUAUUGGGUUUAAAGGGAGCGUAGAUGGAUGUUUAAGUCAGUUGUGAAAGUUUGCGGCUCAACCGUAAAAUUGCAGUUGAUACUGGAUAUCUUGAGUGCAGUUGAGGCAGGCGGAAUUCGUGGUGUAGCGGUGAAAUGCUUAGAUAUCACGAAGAACUCCGAUUGCGAAGGCAGCCUGCUAAGCUGCAACUGACAUUGAGGCUCGAAAGUGUGGGUAUCAAACAGGAUUAGAUACCCUGGUAGUCCACACGGUAAACGAUGAAUACUCGCUGUUUGCGAUAUACAGCAAGCGGCCAAGCGAAAGCGUUAAGUAUUCCACCUGGGGAGUACGCCGGCAACGGUGAAACUCAAAGGAAUUGACGGGGGCCCGCACAAGCGGAGGAACAUGUGGUUUAAUUCGAUGAUACGCGAGGAACCUUACCCGGGCUUAAAUUGCAGAUGAAUUACGGUGAAAGCCGUAAGCCGCAAGGCAUCUGUGAAGGUGCUGCAUGGUUGUCGUCAGCUCGUGCCGUGAGGUGUCGGCUUAAGUGCCAUAACGAGCGCAACCCUUGUUGUCAGUUACUAACAGGUUCCGCUGAGGACUCUGACAAGACUGCCAUCGUAAGAUGUGAGGAAGGUGGGGAUGACGUCAAAUCAGCACGGCCCUUACGUCCGGGGCUACACACGUGUUACAAUGGGGGGUACAGAGGGCCGCUACCACGCGAGUGGAUGCCAAUCCCAAAAACCUCUCUCAGUUCGGACUGGAGUCUGCAACCCGACUCCACGAAGCUGGAUUCGCUAGUAAUCGCGCAUCAGCCACGGCGCGGUGAAUACGUUCCCGGGCCUUGCACA
rnacentral:rRNA from 1 species